rnacentral:sRNA from 1 species
GCAGAGCCAUGGCCCUCUUCUUUGUUCUCUGCUGGAUCCAAGAGAUGGGGUUUCAUCAUGUUGGCCAGGCUGGUCAUGAACUCCUGACCUCAAUGGAUCCUCCUGCCUCAGCUUCCUGAGUAGCUGGGACCACAGGUGCACACCACCAUGCCCAGAUGAAAUUGUGCUCCAAGUGUUUUCCAAGGUUCCGUAUGACCCAUCAUUUGAUGAAACAAGAACAGCAGUCAGAUCCAUUACAAAGAGAGACACACAAAAAAGCUCUUCCCAACAAAAGAGCUUGAACAAUGCUGCAUUUGCCUCAGGUUCAAAUGAGCGAGAGGAACAUUUGGCUAAAAUAUUUGAUGAAAUUCUACUGCAGGUGUUUCCAAAGUUUCCGUAUGACCCAUCAUUUAACGAAGCAACAGCAGUCAGAUCCAUUACAAAGACAGACAUGAGAAAAGGAACCAGCGUUGCUUGGAAUUCUCCUAAACCAGAAUAUUUCCUUGGCAGUGUGGACAAAAUUCCUGAUAAAGAUCACCUUUCAGAGGAGAAGAAUUUUAAAGAAUCCUGUCUGUUCCACAGGGAUUUAAGAGAGCAGUUAACUACUGUAGAUAAAGAAACACUUCAAGGAGCAGCUAAACCAG